CUCGGAUAGCCUAUGGCAACGAAAAUCUCAUUUAUUUUUCCCAAAUUAUUUUCCGUUCUCGCAAUCCAAAUAUUUUAUUACCAGACGAACAAAAAUGUUUGAUUGACAAUCUAUGGCUAUGUUACCAUAGGACAUCAAAUCAUCAAGAACCAGACAAAAAAUAUUUUGUUGCCUGCAUAAAUUCCUUAAUAGAAUAUUUUCAGACAGUCAAACCCAAAGACUCUUUCCCUUUCUAUGUGGUACUUCAAGGUUUUAAAACCGGAAUUUUUGAUUCCUGGAUUGAUGUUAUUACCCAGCUUAAAAAUUUUCCUCACCCUCUCUACAAAGGUUUUCAUUCUAUCUCCGAAGCCUUAGACACUGCUCGUACCUACUUUGGUCCAAAUUUUUUUAUCUCCCCCAAUAUUCGCUCUUCUCCACAUAUUCAUGCCUCUACAUCCACCCACAAUCCUGAGAAAAUUAGUUUCUGUGAAAACUGCUCAACAACGGCAACACAGCUCCAAAAACUGAAUACUAUUUGUGAUGACUUGAGAACAAAGGAUCAGAAAAAUAUUCAAAGAAUUGCUGUUCUGGAACAACAGAUCAAAGACCUCAAGAACCCCUCACAACAAGGUAUUGUAUCUCUACCUCAAUCUUCCUCUUAUCCUCCUUCAAAGUAUCCUCCUAUAAUGACAACUACACCGAGUUUGGUCUUUCCUCCUAUGACCGACAUAAAUACUCCAUUUCAAAUUACUCCAUUUCAAAACCCACUAAUCCCAGUAGUCCAUCCCUCUAUCUCAGUAAAACCUUUUUUAUCUUCAGCACCACAAAAACCUACCCUCAAAAGAUAUCCACAGCCAAUUGCCAAACCUUUUAGGCAAAUUGAACCCUCUUCAGAACCAUUACCACACCCUAGUAUAGGAAACACUGAACAAAAACAAGGCGAUCCCAUGAUACUAGAAACAUCUUCUCCCAAAUGUGACAAUUUAGGCGAAAAUGCUUAGCCGCCUGAUUCUGACAUUUUGUACAUUUUUGUAAAUAUUUCUUUCAGUUCUGCAGUUUUAAUUGCGCCUUUUCAUUUCGACCUUGUAUUGGACACUGCUAAAAAAAAAAAAAAUUCAGAAAAAAGCAAAAGAGAAAAAUGAAAAAAAAAAAGAUUUUCCAGAGAAAAGUGGAAAUAUGAAGAAGAAGAAAGAAUCUGGAAAUUGAAAAAAUCAAAAGAAAAAAUUGAAAAAAUGGAAAAACAGAAAAAACAAGAGAAAAUUCAAGAAAAGAAAGAAAAAAUCAGAAAAAGAAAAAAGAAAAAAGAAUUAACCCGCUGUGAUCCUUUCACAGGCAAAAAUAAGGGUUUUUUAGUUUAGGGCUUUAAUUUCUGUUCUUUAACCACCUUGUGAUCCAACUCCAUCAUCAAAAGCAAGGUUCCAAAGUCUGUUCCCAAACAGACACCACCAAGUCCAACUUUCCACCUCCAGAGCAAUUUUUUGGCUUCCUCCAAGCAAGUCCCAAAGCGACACGUGGCCUCCAUUUGGACAAAUAAUAAUCCGACACGUGGACACCACUCAUGCACCAGUUCCAUGCACCAGGUCCACCAAGAAUCCCGGCAAGAAUGACAUUCAAAACCACUACGCCUCAAACCCCCUACGCCUCAGGUUUUUUAAAACCGUGGGCCCACGUCAUCAUUCCACCCAAUACCUCAUCCUGCGAAGCCAUGGUUUUUUUGAAAACCAGGUGCCGCCGCAGUAUUCUCCUCCCAAACCACCUCUUCCUUCGGCUAUAAAGGAAGAAAACCUCCUCCUCCUCUCAGAGCAUCGAAACCUCAGAGCAUCGAAUGCAUAGAGAAAGAAGCAGAGCAAGAAAAAAUCCUACUUAGCCCCUGCCUUAUGAAAAAUUCCGCUGAAGCUUAAAGGAAGAUCAUUUCGACGACAAGUGAAGAAUGAAGCAAGCCUCUUGUUAGAUAUACCAUCCUAGCUCCACAAAUAAUUCCCUAAUGGCCUUUAUUUUCCUAUCCUUCCUGUAAAAAUUAUCUUUUUUCUUAACCGCAUUCUGGCGUGAAGAGUCUGUACAAACAAGUCCUUCUUUCCCCCCGGGAAGUCCCGGAAGGGAAACCUUCUAGCAUUGUGAUGUAAGUUUUAUCUCUUGUUAAUAUUAUAUUUCUCGAACUCUUCUAUCCAUGGCAUUUUCUUUGCCCCAUGAUUCCCUUUCCUUGGACUCUUAAUGAAAAUUUAAGAGGUUCUCUCUGGAUAAUUAUUUCAGCUUAAGCAAGUGUAAAGCAUAUAUGCUUGGCAGAUUUGAUAAGAGAAAAAAUGCUCUGUAAUUUUCGCCAUUGAUAGCCAGAGGUGCUUUGCGGCGUUAGAGCGAGGUUCUCUGAAAACUGUACGCCAAGAGGGUCUUGUGCACCAACACUGUGUCUUAAGUGGUGUUAUCCACAUUAGAAAAUUAAAUUUCAUCAUAAGUCCGAGUUUUAGGAAAAUUGCAUCAUCGAAAAUUUAAUGAGAUAAAGAGUUUUAGAAAUAUAAAAAACAUCUGAAAAAUUUUUAUCUUGAUUUCUAGAAGGGAGUACCAGACGGGACCUACUUUAAAAAAGAUUUGGAAACUUAGUUUAUUUUCUAAAAACGGAAAUUUUAAAUUUGCACUUCAUCCUAUUUUUAUUCAUCCUACAAAUAUCAUUCAAGACAUAUAUUAUUUUCUUUCCGUUCCUCUUUUACUGUGAACUAUCUAUCAAACAAUUUCAUCUAAACAUCCACCUAUCCAUCCCAAUUAAAUUAAUAUUUAAUAACGACCAACAUCGUUUCCGCCUACAAACACACUUUAAUUUAAGUUUUUAAAAGCUUUCUCUUAAAGAAAAGUUUAAAAAGAUAAAAAAAAAAAGAGAAAAAACAACGUGCAUGUCACUUUGCGUAAUUAGCACUAAUUACGCCACUUAAAUUUUAGACCGGAAAAAUUUAUAAAAAAUCUUAAAAAAUCAGAAAUAUUCCCACGAGUCUUUUGCUACCCUUGUCCAGAGUAGCCGACAUAUAGUUUCCCCUUUGCAUUUUUCUGUUUGCAUAGUAAACUUAAAAAGUUAAAAAAAAAAAAAAAAAAAUUUCCACGUGAAGCCACUGUAUGCAUAGUUAUCGUGCAUAGUAACUUCACUAGUUUUCGACAGCAACAUUUCCAGACAGAAAAAAUACCAAAAAAUUCAGAAAAAUCUUACGAGUAUUUUGCCACCAUUCUUCAGAAUAGCCGACAUACGGUCUCUCCUGUAAAAAUCUUUCUUUCUUUCAAAUCACUAUUUGCAUAGUAACUUGCAUAGUAAUUUAUUUACGUACGCACUAUUUCUACUUAGUAUCCUACGCUAAUUAAGCUUUUUCUAGCUAUAUCAGAAAAAUUCUCCAAAAAUACCCAAAAAAUUGUUAAAAAUCCAACUUUCUCUUUCUUGCCCUUAUCUUUUUCAACCGGUAUUUUCUAAUACUUACUUUUCAAUAUAUUACAUAAUCUGACCCAACUCUACUAUUUCCGCAUUUCCCUAAAAAUCCUAAAAAAUCCAAAAAAUAUUUUAAAAAUCCUUUUUAGGUUUUUGCUUCUUUCAAAGGUUUGUUUUUCCUACUAUCUUAGGGUUUUUAUAAAUAGACUAGGGUUUUCUCCAUAAAUCCUAGGGUUUUUAUCUUAAGGGUUUUUUAUAACAACAGACUUGUAGUUUGUGUUUAAAGAUCAUUUCCGCACCUUCUUCUAAACCCGAAACCCUAAACCCUAAACCCUAAACCCUAAACCUUAAACUUGGAACUAGCCAAGCCUAAACUCUCUAGCCCCCCCUCUUUCCCCCCUCUUGGUAUCAGAGCUUAGACUUUCUUGGUCAAACUUACCCAGACUUUCUUGGUCAAACUUACCUAGAAUCUCUUGGUUUCAAGUUACUAAACUUAUAAAGACUUUAUUGAUUAAACUAGUAGAGACUUUAGCUUUAUCACUUAGCUAUUUUACUACAAUCAAUUCAACAGCCUCAUUCUCUUUUAAACAAGACAGAGAAAAGAAACGAAUACAAAUCUUCCUUGAAUGCAACCACAUUAUUGAUAAUAGUAAAAUCUUUUUAACAAUCAUCCUCAAUACCACCAUAUUAUGGAAUUUUCUACAUCAUCAUCUUCUCAAUCACACAGAUUUUCUAGGUCUAAUUCCUAUAGAUCUGAAGAUAGUGAAUCUACAAUAUCUUUAAGAGCUCCUAAGUCUAGAGCAAGGAACAUAGUUGAAAAAAUCUUUUGUAGACCAAAACCUCUUCCAUUAGUCCCCAGAUCACAGACACCUCAACUAGACACAGUUGUAGAUGUUGAUGAUGAUAUCGCAAUCUUCCGUACCCACGGAUUACGUCUUAUAAAUCCAGACAUCUUAUAUGAUAACCGUCAACGAUAUGUUGACAAGACUAAAUUUAUUUCCUUCAAGAGUGAAGUAUCAGUUGAAUGUUAUGACGGUCAACACAUUUCUAUACCCCUUGCUGAUGAAGAAGUACAAAAAAGUAUUAGAAAGGCAGAUAUAGCACUUAUGCAUUUAGGAUUAAUUGUAAUAGGCAUAAAAGGCCUGGUACGUAAAAAACUAGGAUCUAAAGUACUCUUAAUGCCUUAUGACAAUAGACAUAAAAAUAUAAUUGACGCAUCCUUAGGAUGUACAGAAAUAGAUAUGAAUUACAACGGUGGAAUAUUUUAUGUAGUUCCAGACUUUCUAAUGCCUUCAUUAGACUUUGCAAAUCAAAUUAAGAUUGGUAUACAAGUCAGAGGAAUAGACUUAUAUGAAGGACAAAACUUUAGAAACUUACAAGUUUGUAUUGGAUUUACAGGUCUGUUAACACCCACUGCCGAGUCACAUUUUUUAAUGAACCCCUUAGGUGUAGUAGAUUUAAUGGGAACACAAGGCAUGAAAUUAAUAGCACCAAUGGAAAUAGAUGCUAAAAAAUAUGCCGGCCUUGAAUGGAACUUGGAUAAAUUUACACAAAUUAGACAAACAACAAUAGCUCCUGCUGAUACUAUUUACUACCAAAAUGAACAAGGAAGGAACUCACUCAGAUUCACAGACUUUGAGACAAUUGAAGAAACAGAAAAUGACAAAGAUAGGACGACACCACUAAUACGAAAAAGAAAUAGUACAUCAACUCAACUCGGUGAAUCAAGUACCCAAAGAAGAGAUUUUACUCUAUUACCUCAAAACCAACCACCAAACUUAAAUGUACCAUAUAAUCUAGAAAAACAGCCCAAUAUCGAAUAUAAUUUUAUGGAAGAUAAUUAUAUUGACUAUUCUUCUGAAUCUGAACCUGAAGAUGAAGAAGAUGAAGAAUUUAGUGAUGAAGAAGAAAACCGUCUGAUAGAACAAAUCAGGCUAAAAAGACAAUUAAGAUCUGAAAAAGAUAAAAAAUUAGGAUAUACUAAGCAAGAUGACAGGUUUAUCUAUAACCUAAGAGACGAAAUAAGAGAAAUAAACUUAGCAGAGGAAGGAGAAGGAUCUAAUCCUCCUGAAACACAGACUCCUCCACCAUAUCAUAUUGAACAUCCAUUAAACACUCCUCCAGCUCCACAGAGACCUCCUCGACCUCAAACAACAAAUCCUGGUUAUUCUCAUAUACCAUACUAUGAUACAGUUAGGAUGCCAGCCGAAACCUACAACACUGGUAAUUUCCCUAGACAUCGCAUCUCCUCAGCCCCAGAAGAGCAAAUCUAUCCUUAUGGUCGCAAUGUUAGAUCUUAUGGCAAAAAAUAUCCUUUUGAAAAUCCUGUUAAUUUACAAGAAGCAGGAUCUGGAAAAAUAUUAAACAUAGCUGCUCAUGACCCCCAAACUUGGGAUUCUAUAAUAGACAUUUGGAAAGGAUUAGUUGUAGCAGAUUAUAUUCGUAACCAACACUACAUGAAUACUGAUAACGCCGAGGAAAUGUAUAAAUAUUUAGAAACCUUUUUAGGAGAAUCUACCAAAGGAAUGUGGGAACAAUAUAAAGUUCAAUAUGAAGAUGAAUUCAGACAUUUAUUAACACUAGGAUGUAAUCCUUGUAAUUUUACAAACAAAGUUCAUUCUCUUAUUACCGGUCAAGACCCUAAUUCUGGCCAAUUGCUACUCCAAAAUCAAGCCCUUAUCAGCCUAGAACAACUUAGUAUUUCUACCUGGUUCCCUAUCAAAGACUUUCUACAAGCAUACUUAUAUUAUGCAAGUAUAAGUGGGAAUGCUUUUAGCCAAGACAUAGGACGAAAAUUAUUCUUAAAACUUCCAGGAGUCCUAGGCAGAGAAAUCCAAGAUAGAUGGGAUACAAUGGAAAAAAAAACUAUAAGGCAAAACCCAGAUACUAAAUGGUCCAUAGGACAAAGAGUAAAAUUCAUAAUGAAUAUACUACAAGAGAAAUGUGCCAACAUACAAAUCACAAAACAACUCAAAGACAAUGAAUACUCUUUCUGUAAAAGUGUUGUGUAUACUCCCCAACAGUAUAGAAACCCAUUUUAUGAAACUCCAAAGAAAAAAUAUAAACAUUAUAUCCCUCAAUACAAAGGAUAUAAGACAAGAAUGAAAUAUUCCUUACGACGAUCAAAAGCCAAAAAACCCUAUUUAAAUAAAGAUAACCAUGUUAGAAAAUAUAAAUCAGACAGAACUUAUAAAAGCAAACUUCUCUGUUAUACAUGUAAUAGUCCAGGGCAUUUUGCAAAUGCAUGUCCAAGAAGACAACAUAAAAAACCGAAAUGCUUUACUUAUAGAAGAUACUGGCGAAACCUUGUUAGCAGUAGAUGAAUUUGUCUCAGACAUUGAAACUAUUUACUCCAUUGAAAAUAAUAUAGUUUACGAGAAAGAGAGUGAAAGAGAAUCCUCCUCUGAUGAAGACAAUAAUAACUGUAAUACUUUUAUCUCAAAUAUGAUUGAAGGUACUAAGACAACAAAGCAAAAAGAACAUACAUAUUUUUUUGAAUCUGCAAUGAUAUUUGAAGACCCUGACGAAAAUACAUCCAUAACCUCCCCGCUAGAGGAUAAAACAUGGAAUUCGUUUUAUGAUAGUACCACAAUUCUUUUUGAGANGAUAAAACUUACAUCACAACGCUAGAAGGUUUCCCUUCCGGGACUUCCCGGGGGGAAAAAAGGACUUGUUUGUACAGACUCUUCACUCCAGAUUGCAGUUGAUAAAAAGAUAAAUUUUUACAGGAGGGGGAGAAAAAUAAAAGCCAUUGGAUUUAUUUGUGGAGCUAGGAUGCUAUAUCUAACAAGAUGAGAGCUUCAUUCUUCACUUGUUGUCGAAAUGAUCUUCCUUUAAGCUUCAGCGCAAUUUUUACAUAAGGCAGGGGCUAAGUGGGAUUUUCUCUUGCUCUGCUUCCUUGCUCACCAUGCUUCAAGAGGAGGAGGAAGGCUUCCUUUUAUAAGAAAAAGGAAGAGUGGUUUUGGAGGAGAAAACUGCGGCGGCACCUGGUUUUCAAAAAAACCGCGGCUACGCAGGUUGAGGUAAUGGAAGGAAUGAUGACGCGACAUGAUGACGUGGGCCCACAGGCUUUUCAAAAAAAACCUCAGGCGUAGUGGUUUUGGAUGGUCAUCAUUGGCAUGACUUUUUGAAAAUUCGGUGGACCUGGUGCAUCAGUGAUGUCCACGUGUUGCUUUAAUAUUUGUCCAGAUGGAGGCCAUUUGUUGAUUCUUCAUUGGCUUGGUGGGGGCCAAAUAUUGCUCUGAAAUUUGGUGGUGUCUGUUUGGGAACAGACUUUGGAACCUUGCUUUUGGUGGUGGAGUUGGAUCACAAGGUGGUUAAAGAACAGAAAUUAAAGCCCUAAACUAAAAAACCCUUAUUUUUGCCUGUGAAGGAAUCACAGCGGGUUGAUUUCUUUUUUCUUUUUUCUUUUUCUGAUUUUUUCUUUUUUUUCUUGAUUUUUUCUUCUUUUUUGUUCUUUUUUCAUUUUUCAAUUUUUUCUUUGGUUUUUUCAUUUCCAGAUUCUUUCUUCUUCUUUUGAUAUUUCCACUUUUUUCUGGAAAUUUUCUGUUUUUUCUCCUUUUUUUAGCAGUGUCCGAAUACGCGGACUACAUGAAAAGGCAUAAUUGAAAAACAGAUGCAGAACUGAAGGAAAUAUAUACAAAUAUGUACAAAACAUCAGAACCAGGCGGCUAAGCAAUUUCCCCUAAAUUGUCAAUUUUGGGAGAAGGUGCUUCUAGUAUCAUGGGAUCUUCUUGUUUUUCUUCAGUGUUUCCUAUACUAGGGUGUGGUAAUGGUUCUGAAGAGGGCUUAGUUCUUGGAAAUGGUUUAGCAAUUGGCUGUGGAGGUUUUUUGUGGAAAGCUUUUUGUGGUGGAAAAGGUGCUGAUGAUAGUGGAAGCGGUUUUACUGAGGUGGAUGGAUGGACUACUGGGAUUAGUGGGUUUUGAAAAGGAGCAUUUAUGUUGGUAAUUGGGGGAAAGACCAAACUUGGUGUUAUUGUCAUUAUAGGAGGAUACUUUGGAGGAGGAUAAGAGGAAGAUUGAGGUAGAGAUACAAUACCUUGUUGUGAAGGAUGCUUGAGGUCUCUGAUCUGAUGUUCAAGGAUUGCAAUUCUUUGUAGAUUUUUCUGAUCCUUUGUUCUUAAGUCAUCGCAAAUGGUAUUCAGCUUCUGAAGCUGUGUUGCCAUUGUUGAGCAGUUUUCACAGAAACUAUUUUUCUCAAGAUUGUGGGUGGAUGUAGAGGCUUGGAUAUGUGGAGAGGAGCGAAUAUUGGGAGAAAUAAAAAAGUUUGGGCCAAAGUGGGUGCGAGCAGUGUCUAAGGCUUCGGAGAUAGAAUGAAAACCUUUGUAGAGUGGUUGGGAAAAAUGCCAAUUUUAAAACCUUGAAAUACUACAUAGUAAGGAAACUUAUUUAUUUAUUUAUUUAUUUAUUUAUUUAUUUUUUUUUUUUUAUAAGUUAAGAGUUCCAAUUUGGAUUUAUAAUAAAAGGGAAAAAAGGCAUCAGGUUGUAACAUAGGUGGUGACAUAAGAUUCUAGUAAGUUUAUAUUGAUAAUCUAAACUAUAAUCUUGGAGGUUGAGUUUGUCCAAAANGAAUUCGUUUUAUGAUAGUACCACAAUUCUUUUUGAGAGAGUACAAACUCUAGAACAAGAACUGAACCCUAAUUGGGAAUUAGCUGCCCGAGACUAUAAAAUCCAAUUAUUAAGACAAAGAGCACAAGAAAGAAUAGACAAACGAAUAUGGAAAAUAGCUAUGGAAUUACAAGAUCAGAGUGGAUCAAGAGUAAGAGAAAUAAUGGAAUAUGAACGCAAGCAAAGGUUAUUAGACACUAAAGACCAAAAUAAAAUUAUUCAAGAUAUUAGGAUUCUGUUCGAUGAUCUUUCCGAACAGGAAGAGAUUAUAAAAGACAUCAGACAUCUCUUUGACAUAUCCCAACCCUCAUUUCAUGACUCUACUAUUUAUGUUAUGACCCUUAUGAAUUUAAAUGAAGAAUGCAGCCAUGAUUGGCAAGAAAGACAAGGAUAUGACCAUAGACCUUGCACAUACUGUAAUUUCUUUCCCGAACGAAAAUUUAGAUGUAAAUGUCGCUUAUGUAAAAUUGAAGCAUGUUCAAUUUGCUUAAACAAAAAGUUUAAUAGACAGAUUACAAAUAUAGAACCUAAAAAGACUUUUGAAAUUGAACAUUUAAAUGCCCAUGAAAAACGAAUUAUAGCUUUAGAAGCCAGAGUUAGCCUUCUGGAAAAACAAGACAAUCCAAGAAAAAACAAAGAAAUCACAAACAAAGGAAAAGGAAUAGAGAUCCGUGAAAAUAUGACAGCACUAUCUGAAUACUAUGAAGAAGAAAACUUAAGAGUAUAUGAAGAUAACUAUAUUUGCAAUGAAGGAUUAAACCUACGAAGCCUAAUUGUUCCAUGUAAAAUACAAAUAGGAAACAAAGACUUUGAAACAGAAGCAGUCAUAGACACUGGCUGUACAACAUGUCUAAUACACACAGAUUUAGUCCCUUUAAAUUAUCGAAAAACAGCAAAGGAACCAACAAAAGGAAUCCAAAUGGACGGUACUGCCCAUAAAUAUACACAGUAUGUUUCUAAUGCAAAAAUUAGUUUCUUAGAUACAUGCAAUACAUUCAAUGAAACUUAUACCCUCCCCAGAGUCUGGUUACGAAAAAUGAAAAUAAAUGCAGACUUUGUAUUAGGUUUAAAUUUCAUGCUCCACUUUUUAGGCGGAAUAAGUAUCAAUAGAGAUUAUGUUAAAUUCUACAAACAUGUCACAAUGACUCCAGUACAAAAGAAAGCAAAGAAACCCUUAAAAGACAGAAUAGAUUGCUGUGACAAUUGCUCUAAAGGAGAACCUUGUUCUCUAGAUAAGAUAACAGACGAAACAGACUUAUUAGAAUUUGACACCUGGCAUGAUGAUUUUUCUUAUAAUCUAGAAAAAUUAUUAGACACCAACUCAAUUUGCAUGGAUUAUGACUUUGUAAAUUGGGAAAAAACCCUCUUAAAUAUAGGUUUUAUUAGAAACCAGCAAGACAUAGAUGAAAUAUUACAUAAACUUGACAAAUUAGAAAUUAUGGGAGACAACCCAAUUAAAUAUUGGGAAAACGAUAAAAUAUAUUGUAAACUGGAUAUAAUUAACCCAGAAUAUAUAGUUAGAACUGCCUCUAUAGACUUCACUAACGAAGAAAGAGAACAAUUUAAACUACACAUAAAUGAACUACUUAAGUUAGGUGUUAUAAGAAAAUCGAUAUCUAAACAUAGAUCAACAGCUUUUAUAGUUAUGAAACAUUCUGAGAUAGUACGAGGAAAAAGCAGAAUGGUCAUUAACUACAAAAGACUUAAUGACAAUACAAAAUUCGAUGGCUAUACUAUUCCAGACAAAUCUCAACUAAUAAAUAGUAUACAAGAUAAAAAGAUUUUUAGUAAAUUUGACUGUAAAUCAGGUUUUUGGCAAGUAAAAAUGGACAAAGAGAGUAUAGAAUGGACAGCUUUUACCUGCCCAGAAGGACAUUUUGANUUUGAAUAUUUUUAUGAAAACCGAAAGUAAAGGUAUGGAAUUCUCCUGUGAGAUGGUAAAUAAUGAAAGGAUAAGGAAGGCUUAGGUUUGACAAAGUCUUAUCAUAUAAUGUUAAAAAUGCAAAAUAAUAAAAGGGCUUUUUGCUUUUUUGUUUUUCUUUUGAUUCUAGCCGUGGUUGUAAAUUUAGAGAAAACAAGUACGGUUUGGAGGAGAUUCUAUGAUUAAUUUAUUAAGUAAGUCUAUCUGAGAUUUGGUAUUCUUUUCUAUGACUACUAAAAUUUGUUGAAUGCUGAAAAGGAUGAUUAAAAUGCUUAAAAGAAAUAUGGAUGGUACUAGCAUUAAAAUCUUCGUGGAGGCUGAGGAGGUCGUCUGGAAAGAAUGUCAAAUAGAUGAGGGUAGUGUAUAAGUUCUUUAUCUAGAGUAAGUAGGAUUAAAGAAAGUAAAUCUAGAUACCUAUGAGUUUCAAUGUAAAAUGUUUUUAAGACACGAAAAUGUACUAAAGUCCCGAUAGGAUGAUUAGCGUAAAUAGGAUUGUUAAUAGGAUUAAAAGUGAAAGCGUCUAUGUCAAAAGCGUCUUCGACUGUUACUUCUAAAAAUCUUCGUCUUCCAAUAUGAACAAUGUUGUAUCGCCAGUUAAAUUGUCUUGGGCUGGUGGUAUUAUCACUAUAGUCUGAACUGUCAUCACUAUUGUUAUUGUCUUCGUAUUCUUCGUAAUCUGGUAAAAUUUCGUCUUCGUUUGGAUUAGCCAGUGUAUUUAUUAUUGUCGAAAUAUCUGAAAAACAAGAAAAGGGUCUAUUUCCCAAAGCUGAGAUAUAAGUUGUAGGAAAAUAAUUAUUAAGGGGAGUGGAACUCCUAAAGUUAAGGAAUCUAUAAUAAAAGUUUCUAUAUAAUAGGGAGUGUAGAGAAAGUUUAGAAUUGGUUCGAUGAGAUAAUAUAAGCACACUAUAAGAAAUCUAAAUAUAGAUUCGAUUAAUAAAUAUAAUGCUAUGUCUUUAUCCAGUUUGAAAAAUGUUAAAUAGGUUGAAAAAUGUUAAAUUAUUAUUUUCUUCCUAUAUAUUGAAAAGGCCAAGUAAUAAGGUAUCGGUCAAAAGUUUCCCAAUAUAUUAUUAAUAUGUCUAAAAUAUUGUAUAUGAUGUCUUCUGGAAAUCCUAACAGAAAUAAUGUUAAAAUAAAAGUUGUCAAGGAAAAAGGUUGAUCGAUGAUAUUACAAAAAAGUUGGUCUGUAUUAUUAUCCGGUGCUUUCCUUUUUGGCAUAAAAAAGUUUUACUAUUUAUUAAAUAUGUGGUUGCAUUGAGGACUUUAGUUAAGAAAAUUUAUUUUCUUUUCUUUUCUCUGUCUUGCUUAAGAAGAAAGCGAGGCUGUUGAAUUGAUUGAAAAAAGAUAAUUAAUAUGGUGUAGCUUUAAGAAAGGAAACUAAAUGUCUUAUAGCUAAAUUAAGAGUAUAAGUGUAUAAUUAAAAGUCUUUGCUAAUUGUAACCAAGAAAGUCUUAGUCUACCAAGAAUGUCUUAGUUUACCAAGAAAGUCUUAGCUCUGAUACCAAGAGGAAACAAGAAAGUCUUAGCUCUGAUACCAAGAAUGUCUAAUUUUAACUUUAUCUUUCCUCCUCCUCUUGAAGGAUGGUGAGCAAGGAAGCAGAGCAAGAGAAAAUCCCACUUAGCCCCUGCCUUAUGUAAAAAUUGCGCUGAAGUUUAAAGGAAGAUCAUUUCGACGACAAGUGAAGAAUGAAGCUCUCAUCUUGUUAGAUAUAGCAUCCUAGCUCCACAAAUAAAUCCAAUGGCUUUUAUUUUCCUGUCCUUCCUGUAAAAAUUUAUCUUUUCAACAACUGCAAUCUGGAGUGAAGAGUCUGUACAAACAAGUCCUUNUUAGUUUCUGUGAAAACUGCUCAACAAUGGCAACACAGCUCCAAAAACUGAAUACUAUUUGUGAUGACUUGAGAACAAAGGAUCAGAAAAAUAUUCAAAGAAUUGCUGUUCUGGAACAACAGAUCAAAGACCUCAAGAACCCCUCACAACAAGGUAUUGUAUCUCUACCUCAAUCUUCCUCUUAUCCUCCUUCAAAGUAUCCUCCUAUAAUGACAACUACACCUAGUUUGGUCUUUCCUCCUAUGACCGACAUAAAUACUCCAUUUCAAUUUACUCCAUUUCAAAACCCACUAAUCCCAGUAGUCCAUCCCUCUAUCUCAGUAAAACCUUUUUUAUCCUCAGCACCACAAAAGCCUACCCUCAAAAGAUAUCCACAGCCAAUUGCCAAACCUUUCCGGCAAAUUGAACCCUCUUCAGAACCAUUACCAUACCCUAGUAUAUGAAACACUGAAGAAAAACAAGGAAAUCCUAUGAUAAUAGAAGCAUCUU
rnacentral:lncRNA from 1 species